ACCAAACGGUCUGAGGCUGAUCGACUUCGCCGGGGCCCGAAAUAUGGCCGUCUGUAGUACUAGAUUCCAGCAUAAGGAAAUCCAUCAAGCUAGUUGGCUGUCGCCGGAUCGAAUCACUCGCAACCAGAUCGAUUAUGUUGUGAUAGAUGGACGACAUGUCUCCAGAGUUUUUGAUGUGCGUACGCUUCGUGGUCCCAACAUCGACUCGGACCCCUAUCUUGUAGCAGCUAAGAUACGCACCCGCCUCUGUGUAGAAAAGCGCACACGUCAACAAACACAAGGAAGGUUCGACAUCGAGAAGCUGCAAUCACAACCGACAGCCGAACGAUUUUCUACUCGACUUGCACUCCUGCUCUCUGCGAGCACUCAUCAGCAUCUCGGUAUAAGGGAACUGUGGGAUGGCAUAUCAAACUCCUUACGUACAGCUGCAACCGAAACCAUUGGCUUUCGGAAAAGUAAAAAAACAGCUGGUAUGAUGAGGAUUGUCGUCUCGCAGUGGAGAGAAAACAGACUGCCUACCUCGCAAUGUUGCGAUCGACCGCAACACGAACGGGAUAGGAAAGAUACCGAGAGCUGAAGAGGGAAGCGAGACGCAUUUGCAGACAAAAAAAGAAAGAGGCCGAAAUGCGUGAGUAUGAAGAGCUUGAAAAGCUGGCCGACAGGGGCAGUGCUCGAAAAUUUUACGAAAGGAGAUGGCGAACCCGAUUCCCCAAUCGACGACGAUGGAGCAGAUGUUCCAUUGCCCGACCAUGAAGAAAUUCGAAUAGCAAUUACCCGCUUGAAGAACAAUAAGGCGGCAGGGGCUGAUGGAUUACCGGCCGAGCUAUUCAAAUACGGCGGCGAAGAGCUGAUAAGGUGCUUGCAUCAGCUUCUUCGCAGAAUAUGGUCGGAAGAAAGCAUGCCUGGUCUUCGCUUGGUAUAACCAAUUGGCGCCAAACUGCCAGAAGGAGGGAUAUGUGGCGCGCUGUUUUGGACUCGGCUAUAACCGCGUAAGCGGUGUCUACGCCAGUCAAGAAGAAGAAGAAGAAUGAUUGUUAAGGAUUAAUGCCAAUGGUGAAAGGAAUGUUUAGAGAGGACGACAGUGUCCUAGAAGACGAGAUUGGGGGACGAAAUGCUAAGCUUUUGGUUCUGGAAGUAUGUAUAAUCGAGACGAUCAGACUUAAGUGGAUAUAUCUAAACAUCGAUAUUCGUAGUUGCCACAAUGUUCGAGUGCCGAUGUAUCGCUUACAAUCGACUAUAUAAGGGCUGCCGGACUGGCAGCAAGACACAGUUCUGAUAAGAGAGUUGUCGAGCAAAGUGUAAACAAGUUAUAAGUUAGAGUUGUAAAGUAGCGUAUUGAGUAAUAAAGUGUUAAGUUAUAAGGAAUUAGUAAUAGAGAUUAGUUUCCCUACAAGACGGAGCUAACUCAUACACCACUACAUAUGCAAAGUUUUUCAGCUUUUACCAACACAUACGCAAUAGUAACUUUUUGUAGUUAAAUGACAAUCUCGGUAGUUAGAGUGGCAACAUUCAUUAACCCUAAUUUUUGUAUGUAUAAGAGAGAGAUGCACGCACUAUAAUGGACCGUCAUGGCCGCCAUUCAUAUGAAAAGAAAAUUUGAAGUAAGUGGAUAGCGGCACUAUGGUUGACUGGAUGCUGCAGCUUAUUUAAAGAAAAUAACUGCAGAAAAUAGUCUCGGAAGGCAAAGCGAGCUGCAACGCACAUCUGGGGCGUACAUGCAAAACUAAAAAGAUAAGCAGAACAAUGAUUAUGCCACUUUGGGAUAUUUGCAAACUUCGGAGGAAAAACUAAAACUUAAGCUGAAUACCACCCAUAUACUCCCAUAGAGGAAGGCAGCUAUACUUGGUAUGGGUGCGGGGAAUCCUACCAGCAGUUCUACAAGACAUACAACGGCAAUUCAUCAAUCGUACAAUACAAAUUCGACGUAACAAAAAUCAUGCACCUAGAAAUACAAAAUAUGCUACAACAACAGAGUUGGUAUUUAUACUUCCCAUGCUUAUAAUAUUGGUGGAUAAUCGCCAAAUGGUGUAACAACUGUAGCAGCAAUAACAAGUAAUACAUAUUCAAAUUCACAAUAAAAGUAAAGUCGCACAACGCAACAGGCAAAUAACAAGGCAUCGGAUGAUAUAUUACAAAUUACAUCGGACUUUUGGAGUAGCACUUUCAACACUUAUUUUCGUCGUGCUAAACACAGUGUCUCCUAUGAUUCCCUUGGAUCUACACAAUUAGCAGAGCUAUAAAAACAACAUUGAGGCGCCGAAGUUGUUCAUCUUACUUCUGAUUUGAUUAUGGAGGCAUUAUUAGGCUGAUCUUACAAUUAGUCAUUUUCAAUAUUGUGAUUGUUAACUUAUCGUAAUAGUAGUAAAAUUUAAUUUGUAUUGUAUAACAACACAAAAAAAAACAAUACUUAAAACUUUUGAGAAAUUGUAAAUUAUAAAAAUUUAAUAAUUAAUACUAACUUUAUAUGUAAAAUAUGUAAAUUUUGUCAAUGUAUAAAUAGCCGCAAAAACGUUUGUAAAAAUGAAAGUUUACUUUCUACUGAAAUGCUAAUUUAAAAAUUAAUGUAUAAUAAUCAUUAAUAACAAGUAAGGAAGUUCUGAGUUCGGGUGUAACCGAACAUUUUAUACUGUCGCAAUUUAUUUAUUUAACUUAAUUAAUUUUAUAUAAUACACAAUUUGACCCACAUAUUCGUUAUAUAUGUUAUAUAAAGUCCAUUGAAAGUUGGAAACCCUAAUAUUAGGUUAGAAGCACCGAGGUCCUCAUGUUCGAUAUAUGGGGCCUUGAAAAUAUAUGGUCCGAUUUUGGCGGUUUUUAGAAUGGG